rnacentral:rRNA from 1 species
GAUAAGCAUGCGGGACAUUAGCUAGUUGGUAAGGUAACGGCUUACCAAGGCGACGAUGUCUAGGGGGUUUGAGAGGAUGAUCCCCCACACUGGUACUGAGACACGGACCAGACUCCUACGGGAGGCAGCAGUGAGGAAUAUUGGGCAAUGGGCGCAAGCCUGACCCAGCCAUGCCGCGUGCAGGAUGAAGGUCCUAUGGAUCGUAAACUGCUUUUGUAUGGGAAGAACUUCCCGCAUUCGUGCGGGAUUGACGGUACUAUACGAAUAAGGACCGGCUAACUCCGUGCCAGCAGCCGCGGUAAUACGGAGGGUCCAAGCGUUAUCCGGAUUCACUGGGUUUAAAGGGUGCGUAGGUGGAACGAUAAGUCGAUGGUGAAAGCCUACAGCUUAACUGUAGAAUUGCCAUUGAUACUGUUGUUCUUGAGUAUAGUCGGGGGAAGUGGAAUGCGUAAUGUAGCGGUGAAAUGCAUAGAUAUUACGCAGAACACCGAUCGCGAAAGCAGCUUCCUAGGCUAUUACUGACACUGAGGCACGAAAGCGUGGGGAGCGAACAGGAUUAGAUACCCUGGUAGUCCACGCCGUAAACGAUGCUCACUCGCUGUUGGCGAUAUAUUGUCAGCAGUUUAAGCUAAAGCAUUAAGUGAGCCACCUGGGAAGUACGUCCGCAAGGAUGAAACUCAAAGGAAUUGACGGGGGCCCGCACAACCGGUGGAACAUGUGGUUCAAUUCGAUGAUACGCGAGGAACCUUACCUGGGCUUAAAUGUAGUUUGACUUCCGCCGAAAGGCGGUUUUCCUUCGGGACAAAUUACAAGGUGCUGCACGGCUGUCGUCAGCUCGUGCCGUGAGGUAUCGGGUUAAGUCCCUUAACGAGCGCAACCCCUAUUGUUAGUUACCAACAGGUUAAGCUGGGGACUCUAGCAAAACUGCCAGCGUAAGCUGGAGGAAGGUGGGGAUGACGUCAAGUCAGCAUGGCCCUUAUGUCCAGGGCUACACACGUGUUACAAUGGCCGAUACAAAGGGCAGCCACCACGCGAGUGGGAGCUAAUCCUUAAAAUCGGUCUCAGUUCGGAUCGAAGUCUGCAAUUCGACUUCGUGAAGGUGGAAUCGGUAGUACUCGCGCAUCAGCAAUGGCGCGGUGAAU